GGACAGGAUCCUGCAAACCCUGCAUGGCAGGCAUGUACUGCAGCAUAGCUGGUCUGGCCAUGCCUGAGGGACUGUGCCAACCAGGAUUUUAUUGUGCUCAAGGGUCCAACAGCACCUCACCCGUUGGGCUUCCUUUUGGUGAUCUUUGCCUAGCAGGCUAUUACUGCCCUGCUGGCACAAAACACCCAAGUGAGAUGCCAUGCCCUGCUGGUACCUGGAACGAGAGGAGGGGAGCCCAGGAUGCCAGCUGGUGUCUACCCUGUCCUCCUGGGUUCUUCUGCAAUGUGGCAGGCCGGAUUUCCCCUACAGGGCUUUGUGCACCAGGCUAUUACUGCACAGGAGGGGCACGGACCCCAAGGCCAGUGGAUGCUGUGACGGGGGAUCUCUGUCCUGAAGGACACUUCUGCCUUGCAGGCUCAGCAGCACCCUCCCCCUGCCAAGAUGGGGAAUACAGCAAUGCAACAGGUCAAGACAAAUGCUUCCCAUGUCCAGCUGGGUUUCACUGUCAGCACGGCAUAAUGCACCAUUGUCCACCUGGCUUUUACUGCCCCCAGAAGACUGGAAUCAGCUUUUACCCUUGUCCAGCUGGGAGUUACAACCCAUAUCAUGGAAUCAGCCAGGCCGAGAGGUGCCAGCAAUGCCCUGCAGGGAUGUUUUGUGGAGAAUGGGGAUUAUCCUCUCCGAG
rnacentral:lncRNA from 1 species